rnacentral:rRNA from 1 species
AUGCUAUGGCUGCCGCAGCAUGGCAAGGUCGUCUACCGCCAGGACGACCGCGUCGACGUCUCCACGCCGGGCGGCGGCCUCAACGACAUGCUCCUUUUCCGCGCCAACCCCACCCGGGCGACCAUCGCCGCAAGAGCGGCCGAGGAGCUGCUGCAGGAGAACGGCACCGACACCGCCCGAUGCGCGGCGGCACAGCUGCAGGCGGACACGCUCGAGAAGCAAGCCUACGGCUUCACGAACGACGGCGUCUCAUUCACGGGGUACCCGGUGGUGGGGUACCAGCACCGCAUCCAAGCGUCCGGCACAUGUGUCAACAGCCCAGAGGACGGCCUCCGCUCCGCCUGCGGCUGGGACCCGCGCAUCCCGAGUUCUUUCAACGAUAACUCCGGCUUCAGCGUCGCCCUGUCCAAGGCGUCGGCGUUCAUCAUCGACAUGCAGCGCCUUCGGGAUCUCAACCCUGCCGUGUUUUGUGCUGGCGUCGACCCUAGGAUAGGCGUGGCCUUCCGCUACAUCAAGGCAUCCUCCGCCUACCUCGGCAAGGCCGAGGACUCGAUCGCCGUUGACAUCAUCUACUACCGUAGCCACGCCGACGGGAUGCCACGCGUGUACGCCGACGUCGUGGACGAGAUCGAGCAGAUCGCGCUGCGCAAGUACGGUGCCCUGCCGCACUGGGGCAAGAACCGCAACAUCGCUUUCGACGGUGCCAUCUCCAAGUACCCAAAAGCCCACGAGUUCCUGAUGGUGAAGGAUAGGUGCGACCCUGACGGGCUCUUCUCCAGCGAGUGGAGCGACCAGGUGCUCGGCAUCAAUGGGAGUCUCAAUAUCAUCAAGGAGCAUUGUGCCAUCGAAGGACUCUGCGUCUGCUCCGAGGACUCGCACUGCGCGCCGGAGCUGGGCUACUUCUGCCGACCGGGGAAGGUGUACGCGAAGGCUAGAGUUUGCUCAUUUGGCAAGGAUUAUUAG